GUAAAUUGCAAAGAACCCCUAAGUUCCUAGUGCCCUAGUUUUUGCUGCCUCACCCUUUCCUGUUUCCCUUCACGAUUUUCUGCCGAGCUCUAGAGAUCUUCGCCCGACAUGGCAGUUCUUCUCCACCCGAUGCUACGGCUCUCUCUGGCAACUCGUCUUCCCCAUGGCUUCCUCCGCACGUGCCACCUCCGACCGUUCCUGUCCGAGUAGUGGAGCUCGUGCUGGGAGUGGUCCAGGGAUUUCGACGCCACCGAUAAACUCUACAACCCUGACUCUGCUGAUCUCCGUCGACCCCUCCCAGCUCUCUCACGAUCCAGCAGUCGCCGACAACGACCUUAAAACCUUGGACUCUGUUUCCUCAGUCAGCCAUAGUGAUCUGCUGUCGGAAAAGAAGGAGAAGAUUUGAGCGCGAGAGAGAGCACCGAAGUUGAAGAUCACUGGAAUGUUCUACAUUAGAGGUUAGCAUGUAGGAAAUAAAGUCAUGUCGCUCGGAGGUCCUGCUUGCCGGUUCCACAUCGUGCGAGAUGUCCUUAGUUUAUUUUGGUUGUCGUAGCUUUUUGACCUUCUGGUAUUCGAAAUUUGCUUUGAAAUUUGUUAUGAAAACAUGUUUGUUUUGACUUUCGUAGUCGCUUUACUUAGUUGGUUUGCAAAUAAAGCAUGUUGUUUGUUUGACAUGCGCACAUGCAAGAUUGUUCCUAUUUCUACAUUUCAUGUUGGGUUAUGUGAUUGCUCUUGUUGUCUUU